AGAUGACGAUGAGCACGACUGGAUCGUGAAGACCUGCCGUAAAGGCUGGGACGAAUGCGUUGGCUUCAAGCCGAAGGCCAAGGACGGGCGCCCGGAUGAGGAGUCUCAAAGCAAAGAAAAGGGAACCGGUCUUCCGUGAUGUCAGUGCCCGCACCUCGACUCGACUCGACUUUAUUUAUUACACAAAUAAGACAUUUUACAAAGCACGACAACGAAAGGGAGCUAAUAAAACAAACAUUGGUUUUGACCUUU